CUUCCCCUGCGUGGAUUGCGUGAUGGGUAGCUGACCUCGUGCCCGAUAGCUGUAUUCAGGGGUCCUGACAUUCCGUGGUGUGCAAGCCCCCGCCGCGCUCUGCGCGGUCACCGGGGAAGCCUGAAGCGGGAGAACAGGGAUCCCACCUGCGAUAGCAGGGCACCACCGAUGCUGCUCACACGGCCAAGGCGGGGGUUUU
rnacentral:other from 1 species